rnacentral:rRNA from 1 species
UACGUAGGUGGCAAGCGUUGUCCGGAUUUAUUGGGUUUAAAGGGUGCGUAGGCGGUCUUAUAAGUCAGUUGUGAAAUAUGGCAGCUUAACUGUCAAGGUGCAAUUGAUACUGUAAGACUUGAGUACUGUUGAGGUAGGCGGAAUGGACGGUGUAGCGGUGAAAUGCUUAGAGAUCGUCCAGAACACCGAUAGCGAAGGCAGCUUACUAAAGAGUAACUGACGCUGAGGCACGAAAGUGUGGGGAUCAAACAGG